GAUGAACGCUGGCGGCGUGCCUAAUACAUGCAAGUCGAGCGGACAGAUGAGGAGCUUGCUCCUCUGACGUUAGGGGCGGACGGGUGAUUAACACGUGGAUAACCUACCUAUAAGACUGGGAUAACUUCGGGAAACCGGAGCUAAUACCGGAUAAUCUAUUGAACCGCAUGGUUCAUUAGUGAAAGACGGUUUUGCUGUCACUUAUAGAUGGAUCCGAGCCGCAUUAGCUAGUUGGUAAGGUAACGGCUUACCAAGGCAACGAUGCGUAGCCGACCUGAGAGGGUGAUCGGCCACACUGGAACUGAGACACGGUCCAGACUCCUACGGGAGGCAGCAGUAGGGAAUCUUACGCAAUGGGCGAAAGCCUGACGGAGCAACGCCGCGUGAGUGAUGAAGGUCUUCGGAUCGUAAAACUCUGUUAUUAGGGAAGAACAAAUGUGUAAGUAACUAUGCACGUAUUGACGGUACCUAAUCAGAAAGCAACGGCUAACUACGUG
rnacentral:rRNA from 1 species